rnacentral:lncRNA from 1 species
UUUUGGCCUAACCCACCAAAAUUCUUGCGAGUGUAAAUAAAUCAUCCACCUCCCAGCACACAUACGCCAACAUUUUGCUCAGUUGUUAAAGGAGAGUAUCAUUCCCUCGCACACCUUCAAAUAUGGAUAAAUUAAGGUAUAAAUGUAUAAGAACAUGUCAUGUUAACAUAAGAUUGUAGUCAUGUAACAUAAUAUUUUUAGCUGCACAUGCAGAAAUAUAAACAAUAUUUGUUGAAAUUGGAGCGCAGAUCCCUAUAAUGCGUUAUAAUAAAAAAAUAUAGCAGAGUUGGGAGAAUUGUGUGGUCGAGAUCUGCAAAGGUGCAAAACCAGUUCCUGGGCCAAUCAAGAUAAAUGGUGGAAGUGAAGGAUCAGCAGGAUGUUUAAAGUUAGAUUCUCACAAAAAUUGGAAACCAGCUGCAGUUCUUGGUCUGUUGUGAUGGUAUAGCAUUCUGCAAAAUUGAUUACAACAAGAGAUAAAUUGAUGAUAAAGGCGCAACAACAAAAGGAAGUUACCUAAAAUGAGAUGACAGCACGAUACCUCAAUGCAUUUAUGCAUCACUUUCUAAACUCAUUCACUUAGCUCGCAGGUCUUUGUGUGUUGAAAG